AGAGUUUGAUCAUGGCUCAGAUUGAACGCUGGCGGCAUGCUUUACACAUGCAAGUCGAACGGCAGCGCGGGGCAACCUGGCGGCGAGUGGCGAACGGGUGAGUAAUACAUCGGAACGUACCCAGAAGUGGGGGAUAACGUAGCGAAAGUUACGCUAAUACCGCAUACGUUCUACGGAAGAAAGUGGGGGACCUUCGGGCCUCAUGCUUUUGGAGCGGCCGAUGUCUGAUUAGCUAGUUGGUAGGGUAAAGGCCUACCAAGGCGACGAUCAGUAGCUGGUCUGAGAGGACGACCAGCCACUCUGGGACUGAGACACUGCCCAGACUCCUACGGGAGGCUGCAAAGGC
rnacentral:rRNA from 1 species